AUGGUCGCUUCAGCAGCACAUAUAUUACACUAAAACCAGAGCGAUACAGAGGUUAGCAUGGCCCUUGUGCAAGUAUGACAUGCAAAUUCGUGAAGCCUUCCGUAGUUUU
ensembl:snRNA U6 U6 spliceosomal RNA